rnacentral:rRNA from 1 species
GACGAACGCUGGCGGCGUGCCUAAUACAUGCAAGUCGAGCGGACUUGAGGGAGCUUGCUCCCGAAAGUUAGCGGCGGACGGGUGAGUAACACGUGGGCAACCUGCCUAUAAGACUGGGAUAACUUCGGGAAACCGGAGCUAAUACCGGAUAAUUCUUUUCCUCUCAUGAGGAAAAGCUGAAAGACGGUUUCGUCUGUCACUUAUAGAUGGGCCCGCGGCUCAUUACCUAGUUGGUGAGGUAACGGCUCACCAAGGCGACGAUGCGUGGCCGACCUGAGAGGGUGAUCGGCCACGCUGGGACUGAGACACGGCCCAGACUCCUACGGGAGGCAGCAGUCGAGAGGCUUCGGCAAUGGGGGAAACCCUGACCGAGCGACGCCGCGUGGGCGAUGAAGCUCUUCGGAGUGUAAAGCCCUGCCUAUCGGGAAGAAAUGCCGGAAGGUGAAUACCCUUCCGGCUUGACGGUACCGAUAGAGAAAGCUCCGGCUAACUCCGUGCCAGCCGCCGCCGUAAGAC